UUUUGAUAUUUUAAAAUUGUCCCAUAUAAAAUUUGAGACCCAAACUCUCGUUUCUGCAAUUCUGCUGCUUGCUGCCGGAAGACCUUCGUGACCCUGGUGUUUCUUGCUCUACGCUCUUCUGCACCAGGUGCCUUCCUGUUUAAACCCAAUUUCUCGUUUUCAUCUAAAUUCUCCUGAUUCUCUGCUUUUUUCUUCUGAUUCCAUCGAAUUCCUUUGAAUUCAUUUCAGACGCAGUGCCUCUUCAGUUCUUCCGAGAUCCUCCUCUGCGCCAUGAUUCUCCCUGCACGUCUACUCUCCACUAGCUCAGAUCGAAUUUCCAGAUUUUAAUGAGAUUGUGGCUCCAGUAACUCUGGCUGAUGAAGAGAUUAGCCUUGAACGAGGUGGAAGUCAGUCGGAUCGCAUGUCAUCAUUAUCUAUGCAGAACCCUGACAUCCUAAGUGUUAAUAAACUUUUAGAAUUGGUUUUGGAAACUGUACGGCAAGUGGCAAGUCUCUCCAUUUCUUCAGCUCCAGUACCUUAUGACCAAAUGAAGAACUAAUGUGAGGCACUUGUUAUAGGAAACAACAGAAGAUGUCAGUUCUUCAAAGUUUCAAACACCAGUAAGAGACUAGAGCGCUUGUUCUUUCAAGUGAUUAUGAAAUAAAAGUUCCCCCUCUGGCAACUAAGGAUAGGAUGUUUUACCAUAAUGCGAAAGAACAAAGUUUUCUUCAGAAUUUAUUGCUGAAUGUUCUCAUUAGUGUUUUGGUAGCUUUAGAGUAUGUGCUUCAUUAUCAGGAUUCACACCCAAUGAGAAAACUUUCUAUGCAUUUAGAUGAUGCUCUUAACUUAGUAUUAUUUAAAGUUUUAACUGAUCCAAUUAAUUAAGAGAUAAUUUAUACAAAGUUAAUUGAGGUAUAUGUAGAGGUCAUGAAUAUUCUAUAGACAUGAUUCACAAUAGGAUAAUAUGGUGUCAUGUGAUGGCCGUAUCUACUUAGUGGAAGGUUUUGGUUUUAUUGUUGUAUAGGUGCAGUCGCCAAUAGGCAAGACAUGUAGUUAAUUUAUUUAUUUAUUGCUGUUAUGUGUUGUGUUUCUAAUAUCAAAAUAAUUGUGUGUAUAUAUUUAAUUUGUAGGACAACAAUCAAAUCAUUGAUCUUUCAUUUUUAGUACUCUUUUCAUUAUAUAUGUGGUUUUUUGGAUCGAAUAUUGAGAAUAUAUUCUGCAGAAUGAUUAGAUUUACCAUAGAUAAAUUUCUGAUGUAUACUUAAUCUAUUGAAACUAAUUUUUAAACAAGAAUGCUUGUCUUGGGGAAGCAUUUUUGAAAAGAGCCACUAUUAUAUGUUUUCAACUUAUCAGUAUCACUCCACCCAAGUGUAUUAUUUUAUUCCUAUGCACUUCAUUAAAAAAGAAAAGCCUUUUUAUUCAUGGUCAUAGUAGUUCUACACUUCGCAAAUAAUAUUAGUUAUAUCACCGAUGCAAAGAUAACCAAGAUAUUGAAAUUGUUGGUUUUCAAAAUCAAGAUGCCUAUUUAGCCCCUUAUUGGUUUAACACUUCAAUGGAUUAUCAAUUCCCAGUUUCCUUAGGACAUCUUCUACCUCAGUAAUCACUAAAAAGAAACAACACUCUUUUACACAAAAUUUGAUUCUUCAUUAUUGUCUACAACCAAAUCUGUCAUAAGAUAUUGAAAAUAACAGUUAAAAAUUUUGAAAAUGAUGUUCUUCGUUAUAAUUCCCUCUGGCUUCCAUUCACUCCAUUAAAGUAUUAUUCCUUCAUUAGUUCCCUGUUUUCCAGUGCUUUGCUUAUUUUGACCAUGACCAUGGGAAAAAAAAGAGAAGCUUCCACACAUGCAGUAGUCAUGACCAAAUAGAUAAAUAUAAAGUAUGUGUUGUACACUUCCUAAAUUUCAGAGACUAAGAACUUAUUAUAUCACAAGAUGUAUGAGUACCUCAUCUUAGUCUUAAUUCUUAUGCACAUUACAAUGUGCAUAAUUUCAAUUUUCGUAAUUAUAUUAUUAAAAAUGCAUGCAUGUCCAAUUGAGAGUUUUCAAUUUUCUGUAGUUUCAUCUUUCUAUAAAAUUAACUAAACAAAAAUUCCGGCAAUAUGCUAAUACCAUAUGGGCUUGUAAGCAAGUCAUUUAUGAUUAUUGUGAACAAUGCAUAAACUUCUUGAAUAGACAAUCAAUGGAGUGUGUACAUUUCAUUUUUUGAGAAGUAAUAAUAAACAGCAUCAAAAUACAAAUGAAAUUCAUAUAUAUUAGAAAAGAUAUGAUGGGUACAUCAAAUUCUAGACGUUAAUAGUAAAAAAAAACUAGUAACUGCUAUUAAUAAUUGGUCUGAAUUGAUGAUGUUUCUAACCGCAUUGUUAGAUUUUCAUCUUCCAGAUCAUAUUAUCAACACUGCAAUUAUGAAAUUUCUCCAAUGCUUAACUGACAGAA